UAAAUGUAAAAUUCUGUCUCUUAUACAAAUACAAAUACAAAUAAUUUAUUUUCCAGAAAAAUACAAUAUUAUACAACUUCAGAUUAAGACAAAUCCCCACACUAGGCAUAGCCUGUCCUGUGAGG